UUCGCUAUGUUUUAUUUUUUUUUAAAUCCUGCCGUGUACAAUGGAACAACUUGUCCGUAUAAUUUUGUUUUGCUUGGGAUGUAUGAACAUGGAUUUAUAUUGAAUGCGGUUUCCAUUUAAUUUGUUUUUUUAUUGGAUUUGGAUUGGAAUGUAUGAAUUUCAUUUGAAAUACGAUUAUAUCCGAACAGGUGAUUUCGCGUGGAUAUGAUCCCACGGGUGAUACAUAGUUUAAAGUCAUUUGUUGUGAAAAGAUAUAUUUCGGUAAAACUUUGCCGAAACAUACUAAAACAGUGAGCCAGAGAAAAAUUCGGGAGGAUAUUACCGAAAUCUGGGUAAUAUUCGGGUUUCA
rnacentral:lncRNA from 1 species